CCCUCCCUCAACUUAAAACCAUUUCCCCUCGUCCUAAAAAAAAACGAUCAUCUCUUCUUUGUCACCUGGAGAGCAGCUGUCCAUUGUCCCUGGGAAACAGACACAGUGCUGUUCUCAACAUUUGCAGUGGGGGACAUCAAAAAACCACGUGUGAGUUACUUCCUUUCUUCUAACAGUGGGCUGUGUGCUCUCUGCUCCCUUAGAAGUAUGGUGGCAUCUGCCAAGUGCUGCAUAUUCUGUCUUAUUUACUCCCAGGAAAAAUGUUAACAGACUCGAGGCCAGGAAAUAGCACAAAAGCCAUAUUUAAUUGCUGUCUUCUCUUGUAUAAGCCUAAACAUCCAGCUAUGUGUGCUCAUGCCCCUUCUCAGGUAUCAUUUGAAGAGUUCAUAUGCUGCCAGCUGCACAGACAGGGAUCUCCCUGCCCAUAAGGGACAAACUCCUGGGAUGUUUCUCAGCAGGCUGCCGAUGGGACAAUCCUUACCCAGUGCUUGUCCUGCUCCUGCCUGGCACAGCAGCAUACUUCUAGCUAGCUUAGGAUGAAAUGUUAGACACCAGUGAACUGCAUUUAUACUCGCUCAGCCCCAUGCAGCAGGAUGAAAAACUGGAGCAAGGAGAGGAGGCUGAGCAUUCCCUGCCUGAUGCCCAGGCAUGCUGCAGAGCUGCCGCUUGGGACCACACGGGCCAGACAUGAGCCACCUGCUGCAGAACUGGGAGCCAGUUGUGUCACAGCAGGUAAAAUACACACUGUUCAUUCCCUGGAGUCCUCUGGAGGCACCGUGCUGUGAGCUGACCUAGCAGUGCUGAUUUAAAUCUGAUCCAGGGAGAGACAUUGAUCCCUGGUUUCCUCUCACAGCAGUGAAGUCACAGCUUGGUUGUUCCUUCUUUUCACAGUAAAAGCUGUUUUCUUGGUGCAGGAGGAGUGCUCUGAUCAGACACUCAGACCUGAGAAACAGCACAGAGAAGGCACGUGCUUUGUCAUAGCUCAUUUCUCCUCCGUUGGCUCCCUUUACAGCCAGGUUGUGUGGAGGUUUUGUGACUAAAGCCCACAAUGCUCUUAUCAGCAGUGAGAAUUUGGCCUGAAAGCAUCACUGAUUCAGCUCUUCUUCUAGCCAGCUCUAAUGGCUUCCCAUCGCCCACAAGCAAACAACAGGCAAUACAUCCCCUGUGCACCGUAGCUCAGCUGUCACUGCUCUGCAGGCACGAGGUCACCUGGUGCCUGCUGUCAGUGGAAGAAUUGGAGGAUCAGAUCCCCACAGACAAUCUCUGCUGGGAAGGAUCUGUGGUCAAAAUACUGCCACCUUCUCCAGCUCCAGCUCCUCACGGUGCCUCAGCUGCAGCACGUGGAUCCCUGAGCGAAAGCUGGCGCAGAGCAGCGUGGAGCUGUCGCAGGCAGCCAGUGAGACCAGCGGUCCAGCUCCCUCGAGGCAUGCAGUGGCAAGGCAGGCUGAGGAGGAAAGAGAAAAAGUCACUCUGACACCAGGUCCCACAGCUGCAAGGAAACAAGCAGUGCUCAGAGCUCGGGCCGUCACUGCCACCUGCCAGCACGGAGAGGUUUUACAGAGAGAGGAAGGCGGUGCCCAGUGCUGCUUGCAGCUGCAGAUGCCCCCAUGCUGUCCUCCCCCAGCAGGAGACCCAGCCCCUUUAGUAACCCAAGAUACGACCAUCUGAGGAUGCUUUACCCGUACGUGGCCGUGUGCAAGCUGAUCUUACUCUGCAGUUUCCCCAUCCCACCGCUGAACACACAGCAUCAGCUGCAGGCAGCAGCACGGAGCAUCACAACGCCGGGCUCAGGCUCUCACUGCUGGCUGCGAGGAGACGCAGCACGACCAGAGAUCCAGAGAGAUUUCUGCUUCUCACACAUCCAGGAUAAAGUGCUGCUCCCCCUCCUCUGGGGUCACGUGCUGGGGGAUGCCCACCCUGUGCACGACACCAACACCGAAUGGACACCGCCUGCAGGCACAGACACAGGGCAGCCACCAAUAAACCCAUUUCAAUGGCAGCGAAUUACCGAGUCCAGUAAUUGGAUUCCCUGCAGAUGAAGAUACACCAAUUGGAUUUAGUCUGCGUUAGGCGUACGUUAGUGCUCCAUCUCCUGGGCAGGUAUUCUGCCAACAGAAGGUCAGAAGAAAACCCAGCUUCUAUUGGUUGAGUUACUUCCUACUGGAAGAAAAUGCAUGCAUUCAGUCUGCCCAGAGACAGGGAAGCUCCAUACCAGCAGCACUCAGCAGGGGUCGGUGACAUUCCACAACACAUUCCCUUUCUAAUUUUACCCUGGCAGCCUCUGUGAUUAGCAAUUACUAAUACCAGCUAAUCUCAGCCUUCUCUAUCCACAAGCUUGAAUGUUCCAAAGGUGCAGAGAACCAUCCAGCUCACAGCUCCAGGCAGCGUUACGCUGCUCAUUCAUUUCCUUCCAUCAGAAUGAACAUCAAAGCACUUUGGGACAUUGGGAACAAAAGUGGUUUUUCCGUGACAGCGAGAGAAUGCAGGAAAUUAUUUCUCCUGCAAAAUAAAACGGCAUGAGCUGCUAAGGCUUAAACUCUGACUUAAGUUCCUGCCCUUGGUUUCUCCCACAAGCAUAGCCAUCCAUCCU